GCCCAGCUUGAAAAUCGGACG
rnacentral:snRNA from 1 species